AGUGUUUACUCCAGAGUCAACUUUUAAUAUUUGAGAGGCAUGGCAUAUUGAGGAAAGUCAGAGUAGAGCUAUGUAAUGCAAGACCUGGUGAGGAGAAUAGAAAAAAAAAGUCUAAACCUACCCUGUUGCAGCUUGAAGCCAUUCCCUCUUGUUCUGUCGCUAAUUACCUGUGAAAAGAGACCAGCACCAACCUUUCUUCAGUGACCUUUCAGGCCUCAGGAAGUAAUGUAUCAAGAAGAAGAAGAAAUUGUGUUUCAAGGAAGGACUGUGAAGUCAGUAGUAAGAAAGUAAUAUUUUGGGUUAGUACCAAGGGAGAAAACAAAGUCCUGCGUUACUAAGCAUAAAUGAAAAUAAUAAUGCAGACUUCCAAUAGUAUGGAGAUGCAAGCUUGGACAAGUAUGAUAAAUCGAUCACCAAAUGUAAACCACAGCUGAAGAUAAAAGUGUUAACAGUACCCAUCAAAAACAUGUUCACUGGAACACCAAUAAAGUUUAGCUCUGGUCAGUCUGUAUUAAGUUUUCCUUUGCUGUAGUUUUUUCCCCAGUUUUGCGCAUAAAUGUAAUCUGAAACAACAACAGAUUGUGUGAAUUGCAUUAUACUUUAUAAAAUCUUCAUUCUCUACCACACCUACAGUUAUUUACUCAAUUUAGUAAAUUAUUAGUUCUAAAACUGGCAAGGAUAAAAAUCCUAGAUGUAUCAAAAGCUGUUUAACAAUCAAUAUGCCAAAUUUACAAAACAGAUUGGCAUAAUACAUAAUAACUGUUACGAAGUUUAUUUGAAUACUGUAUUGAGAUAAUAUGACCUGUUUGCUAAGUCAUAUAGUAAAAAGUAAAUAAUUUCUAAAAUGUUCUUAGUAAACUAAUA